ensembl:lncRNA
UGUACUCUAUUCUACCAUAUUCUAUUGUACUGUACUGUAUUCUACUGUUCUGUAGUGUACUGUACUCUACUGUACUGUACUGUCUUCUACCGUAUUCUAUUGUACUGUACUGUAUUCUACUGUUCUGUACUGUACUGUACUCUACUGUACUGUACUGUACUCUACUGUACUGUACUGUACUCUACUGUUCUGUACUGUACUGUAUUCUACUGUUCUGUAGUGUACUCUAUUCUACCGUAUUCUAUUGUACUGUACUGUAAAGUAUUUUACGUUUCUACUGUAUUGUUCUGUGUUCUACUGCAGUUCUGUUCUGUACUCUACUGUUCUGUACUGUACUGUGUUCUACUGUUCUGUAUUCUACUGUUCUGUAUUCUGCUGUUCUGUUCUGUAUUCUACUGUUCUGUAUUCUACUGUUCUGUUCUGUAUUCUACUGUUCUGUAUUCUACUGUUCUGUUCUGUAUUCUACUGUUCUGUAUUCUACUGUUCUGUAUUCUACUGUUCUGUACUGUACUGUGUUCUACUGCAGUGUACUGUAUUCUACUGUUCUGUACUGUUCUGUAUUCUACUGUUCUGUACUGUACUCUACUGUUCUGUUCUGUACUGUACUCUACUGUUCUGUACUGUACUGUAUUCUACUGUUCUGUACUGUUCUGUAUUCUACUGUACUGUACUGUAUUCUACUGUUCUGUACUGUACUGUAUUCUACUGUUCUCUACUGUACUGUACUCUACUGUUCUGUACUGUUGUGUAUUCUACUGUUCUGUACUGUUCUGUACUCUACUGUUCUGUACUGUACUGUAUUCUACUGUUCUGUACUGUACCGUAUUCUACUGUUCUCUACUGUACUGUACUCUACUGUUCUGUACUGUUGUGUAUUCUACUGUUCUGUACUGUUCUGUACUGUUCUGUACUGUUCUGUAUUCUACUGUUCUGUACUGUUCUGUACUGUUCUGUACUGUUCUGUAUUCUACUGUUCUGUACUGUACUGUACUCUACUGUUCUGUACUGUUCUGUAUUCUACUGUUCUGUACUGUACUCUACUCUACUGUUCUGUACUGUUGUGUAUUCUACUGUUCUGUACUGUUCUGUACUGUUCUGUACUGUUCUGUAUUCUACUGUUCUGUACUGUACUCUACUCUACUGUUCUGUACUGUUGUGUAUUCUACUGUUCUGUACUGUUGUGUAUUCUACUGUUCUGUAUUCUACUGUUCUAUACUGUACUGUAUUAUACUGUUCUGUACUGUUCUGUAUUCUACUGUUCUGUUCUGUACUCUACUGUUCUGUACUCUACUGUUCGUUCUGUACUGUUCUGUAUUCUACUGUUCUGUACUCUAUUCUACUGUAUUCUAUUGUUCUGUACUGUUCUGUAUUCUGCUGUAUUCUACUGUUCUGUACUGUACUCAACUGUUCUGUUCUGUACUGUAUUCUACUGUAUUCUACUGUUCUGUUCUGUACUGUUCUGUAUUCUACUGUUCUGUACUCUAUUCUACUGUAUUCUAUUGUUCUGUACUGUUCUGUAUUCUGCUGUUCUGUACUGUAUUCUACUGUUCUGUAUUCUACUGUAUUCUACUGUUCUGUACUGUAUUCUACUGUUCUGUACUCUACUGUAUUCUACUGUACUGUAUUCUACUGUAUUCUACUGUUCUGUACUGUUCUGUAUUCUACUGUUCUGUUCUGUAUUCUACUGUUCUGUACUCUACUGUAUUCUACUGUUCUGUACUCUACUGUAUUCUACUGUUCUGUUCCGUAUUCUACUGUUCUGUACUCUACUGUAUUCUACUGUACUGUAUUCUACUGUUCUGUACUCUACUGUAUUCUACUGUACUGUAUUCUACUGUUCUGUACUCUACUGUAUUCUACUGUAUUCUACUGUACUGUAUUCUACUGUUCUGUACUCUACUGUAUUCUACUGUAUUCUACUGUACUGUAUUCUACUGUUCUGUACUCUACUGUAUUCUACUGUAUUCUACUGUACUGUAUUCUGCUGUUCUGUUCUUUGAUGUCCAAACUUGUGAAACAUAG